UUGUUAGUUGCCAUCAUUCAGUUGGGCACUCUAGCGAGACUGCCGGUAAUAAACCGGAGGAAGUGGGAUGACGUCAAUCAUCAUGCCCCUUAUGACCUGGGCUACACACGUGCUACAAUGGUUGGUACAACGAGUUGCGAGUCGGUGACGGCGAGCUAAUCUCUUAAAGCCAAUCUCAGUUCGGAUUGUAGGCUGCAACUCGCCUACAUGAAGUCGGAAUCGCUAGUAAUCGCGGAUCAGCACGCCGCGGUCGAAUACGUUCCCGGGCCUU
rnacentral:rRNA from 1 species